rnacentral:rRNA from 1 species
CGGACGGGUGAGUAACACGUGGAUAACCUACCUAUAAGACUGGGAUAACUUAGGGAAACCGGAGCUAAUACCGGAUAAUAUAUUGAACCGCAUGGUUCAAUAGUGAAAGACGGUUUUGCUGUCACUUAUAGAUGGAUCCGCGCCGCAUUAGCUAGUUGGUAAGGUAACGGCUUACCAAGGCGACGAUGCGUAGCCGACCUGAGAGGGUGAUCGGCCACACUGGAACUGAGACACGGUCCAG